rnacentral:rRNA from 1 species
AGUGAACGCUGGCGGUAGGCCUAACACAUGCAAGUCGAACGGCAGCACAGUAAGAGCUUGCUCUUACGGGUGGCGAGUGGCGGACGGGUGAGGAAUACAUCGGAAUCUACUUUUUCGUGGGGGAUAACGUAGGGAAACUUACGCUAAUACCGCAUACGACCUACGGGUGAAAGCAGGGGAUCUUCGGACCUUGCGCGAUUGAAUGAGCCGAUGUCGGAUUAGCUAGUCGGCGGGGUAAAGGCCCACCAAGGCGACGAUCCGUAGCUGGUCUGAGAGGAUGAUCAGCCACACUGGAACUGAGACACGGUCCAGGCUCCUACGGGAGUCAGCAGUGGGGAAUAUUGGACAAUGGGCGCAAGCCUGAUCCAGCCAUACCGCGUGGGUGAAGAAGGCCUUCGGGUUGUAAAGCCCUUUUGUUGGGAAAGAAAAGCAGCAGGUUAAUACCCCGCUGUUCUGACGGUACCCAAAGAAUAAGCACCGGCUAACUUCGUG